rnacentral:snRNA from 1 species
GGAUGUGAGGGUGAUCUGGCUGCGACAUCUGUCACCCCAUUGAUUGCCAGGGUUGAUUUUGCUGAUUGGGCUGGCUAGGCGGGUGUCCCCUUCCUCCCUCACCGCUCCAUGUGUGACCCUACCAAGGCUGCGUGCUCGGUCGAAGACGGCCUUCCCCAAAGAGAGACGGACCGGUCUUCAGUUGACGGUAUAUGAAUAGCUGUGCUCCCCUGCUAGAACCUCCAAACAAGCUCUCAAGGUCCAUUUUUAGGAGAACAUAGAAUAGUCAAGCUUCCAAAUCUCCAGACACAUCCAAAUGAGGUGCUGCAUGCGGCAGUUUUCAUAUAUAU